GGGGAAUUUUCCGCAAUGGGCGAAAGCCUGACGGAGCAAUACCGCGUGAGGGAGGAAGGCUCUUGGGUUGUAAACCUCUUUUCUCAGGGAAGAACACAAUGACGGUACCUGAGGAAUCAGCAUCGGCUAACUCCGUGCCAGCAGCCGCGGUAAUACGGAGGAUGCAAGCGUUAUCCGGAAUGAUUGGGCGUAAAGCGUCCGCAGGUGGCUUUGCAAGUCUGCUGUCAAAGCUCAGGGCUUAACCCUGAAUCGGCGGUGGAAACUGAAAAGCUAGAGUGCGGUAGGGGUAGAGGGAAUUCCCAGUGUAGCGGUGAAAUGCGUAGAGAUUGGGAAGAACACCAGUGGCGAAAGCGCUCUGCUAGACCGCAACUGACACUCAUGGACGAAAGCUAGGGGAGCGAAUGGGAUUAGAUACCCCAG
rnacentral:rRNA from 1 species